rnacentral:rRNA from 1 species
ACAGAGGUCCCAAGCGUUGUGCGGAUUCACUGGGCGUAAAGGGUGCGCAGGUGGCAUGGCAAGUUUGAUGUGAAAGCUCAGGGCUCAACCCUGAAAUGGCAUUGAAUACUGCUGUGCUGGAGGUUUGGAGGGGGGACUGGAAUUCUUGGUGUAGCAGUGAAAUGCGUAGAUAUCAAGAGGAACACCAGUGGCGAAGGCGAGUCCCUGGACAACACCUGACACUGAGGCACGAAAGCUAGGGGAGCAAACAGGA